CGAUACAAACGACGACACUCCGCGCUCUGACAGUACGCUCGUCAAUUUGAAGAAAUUUUCUUAAAAACGAAAACAAUUAAAAUAACAAAAAAUAAAUAUUCGCCGCAGUCUGUGUCCUGUGCCGGUGUUACAACACGCACCACUGCUUUCUAUUCUUCUAAAAAAAGAAGAAUAUUCUUAAAAAAGAAGAAGAUUCAUAACUGUGUGCUGUUGAUUGUAAGUUUGUAACAAGUUUUAAUAUUAUGGGUGGCAUUUAAAAUGAAGAACGCAAGGAGAUCGCUUAUAAGAUCAAUGGGCUGUAUAAAGGGCACUAGCAGUUUGCUGGAAGCAGCUUGAAGUCUAAACCGGCUUGGAUUCGGGGAUUUUAAUUUAGGU